UACAGAGGUGGCAAGCGUUGUUCGGAAUUACUGGGCGUAAAGGGCGCGUAGGCGGCCCGUCAAGUCCCGUGUGAAAGCCCCCGGCUCAACCGGGGAACUGCACGGGAAACUAGCAGGCUUGAGUUCGGGAGAGGGAAGCGGAAUUUCGGGUGUAGCGGUGAAAUGCGCAGAUAUCCGAAGGAACACCGGUGGCGAAGGCGGCUUCCUGGACCGACACUGACGCUGAGGCACGAAAGCUAGGGGGAGCAAACGGG
rnacentral:rRNA from 1 species